CCGAAGCCGGUGGAGUAACCAUUUGGAGCUAGCCGUCGAAGGUGGGACAAAUGAUUGGGGUGAAGUCGUAACAAGGUAGCCGUAUCGGAAGGUGCGGCUGGAUCACCUCCUUUCUAAGGA
rnacentral:rRNA from 2 species